UGCAUUGGUGUAUGUAAAUCACAAAGUCUGGGCUGUUUUGGGGCGGUGAUUUACUACCACAUUUCCUCAGCUGGUGAACAUUCCAAGUCAUGGAUUCCUCCUGAAGGAAGUGACUUGCAAGACCCACUGGAGCUCUGCUUCACUAAUUAGCUCUUUGCCUGAAUAGGGGACCCCAAGGUCAGAAAAGAAACAAAGUAGGAGCGGCUGGAAUAGAGUGAGAAGUCAAGAAAUGCGACUCAAUUUCAUUACCAUGAGGGUUCCUUGAUAAGCAGGCAACUAAAAUGAUUUACUCACUCAACACUCUUUCAAAAUGGAGCUUGCAGGGUUGUAGAAUAGCAGGGGGGCACAGAGAAGUAAUGAGGAAUUCAAGCAACAUGUGUUAUUUAUAAUGAAAAAUAAAGAAUGGCCAGAACGUUCGGACCACUGUCUGGUUUUCAUGGAGAAGGCUACAUCAAUACCUUGUUGCUUAAAUCCUACAAACAACCUAUUGACGAAAAAAAUACACAAGCUCAAUAGCCCUGUCUGAGUCUGACAAUGUGAUAUAGUUAGUUUAGAUUUUAAACAAACACUCACAUUUUGAUCUGACUUUGGUGAAUCUUUUCAGUCUGAUAAACAAUCACGUGGCGCAUCUUGAGAAACUGUUACUUUGUUACAGCGAUGUAAUUACUCUGCAGGGGACCUUGUAAAGCACGGUGCGCCAAGAUCUACCGAUUUGGAUGACUUAGUUAGAGAUUUCUCUUACUCAAUCCAACACGAUGUGGACCACCAGCACGCUACGGAUAGGAAAGCAACAAUUGCAUAACACUUGGUUUAUGUCAUAAUAAUUUAAAUACGUAAUUCAAGGAUUAAUUGCACUGCAGACCAGUGAUGCACUUCCGAUGGUGCAUCUGUCCAGCCGGCACCACAAGGUCAAUGCUUUGAUGAGAAUAUCCUCCCCAGCGGUAUCCAUAGGAACACCGUAAAAAAGUCUUUACAGUCAAGACUUUUAUGGUGAGUUUGAAAUAAAUGGACAGUUAUAUGUAAAUACUUCCCGGGAUUGAUUGUGAAAUGUUAGCUUACGAAAUGUCAUAUAUAGAAUAACAGCAAUGAAAAAUAAUAAAAAGUGUUAGUGCUGUUAAAACUUAGUAGGAAGCCAAUUUGUAAUGAGAUUGGAGUCUUAAUGCAUUUAAAUUCCAUUCACUUUACUACAAGAACAGGACCACAAAAUGUAUUAAACAAAAGAAUGAGAGAAUUGCCAUUGCUUACUCAGAAGUACAAACAAUUAUUGAUUCAGAAGUGGCUUUCUUGGUCAAGUAUUGCUAAAGAACAGCUGUUAUUGUGCAAGGGAAUUUCCAUCAAUGGAAAUGUAGAUGUUAUGAAUCAGAAGUCCAGACCAAUGAUGAAUACCGAGGAGCUCCAGAGAGCAUCUAUAGACUGCGCAGGAACGCACUCGUUUUAUUUGUUGGUUUGGAAGUAAAAUCAGCGCUGGGGGCAAUUGUAACAAGGAUCGAAUUCUUACGAAGUUAAACAUAAUGAAUAAUAGAGGCACACGGCAUUCUGUGGAAUCAUGACUACAUUUCAGAACAAUGCCUUGAUCUAACACAAGCGCCUAUACCUCGUGUUCAGUAUACCUCAAUGCAUUUCAGUAUUGAAACAAGGAGAGGAUUUAGAAUAGUGUAAGAAAAUGAUUCUGAAAUCCUUCUUUCCUCACUCCCCCAUCAAACAAAUGGCUAAAGAACCACGGUACUUAUUAAUUAUAUACUCUUGGCCCAACAAUCUCUGAUCAAGGUCAAGAUUGAAAAUUAAAUACACAUUUUUUUUAAAGUGGUAAAUGUUAUCAUCUGUAGGUAAUUUUAAGAACAGUUUUGCCUUUGCAUUGUCUUCCCUUCCUGUAGAUAUUAAAUUCAGAACCAUCAGGUUUAAAAUGAAGGUUUUGUAGAAUCCUAACAUACAUUACUUUUGAAAGCUCUCAAACAUAAUUCUAAAUAUUGGCAGAUUGUUUUGGUUAAUAUACCAGUGUUAAUUUGAGGUAAGCAGCUUGGAUACAAUGUAGAAAACAACACAUCAAUAACACAUUGGUUGAAAAUGUAAAAAAAAUUGCAGAUGUUGGAAAUUUUAACUAAAAUCAGAAAAUGCUGUA